CAGGAACCCAAGUGACAGUGGAGAUUCACCACGAGGAUACCAGCCCCCAGCUCAUCAAGAGAUUCUCCUUGGGAAAAGGUUCCCAGAGGCUGAGAGGACACGACAACAAAGGUUUCCAGAAGGCUGAGGCCCCGCGGCCGCCGGGAGCAAAGGACCUCCAUGGUAAUUAACGAUCCACCAGCACGGCAGUGCUCAGCUCCCCCAGCCCCUGAUCCU
rnacentral:lncRNA from 1 species